UCGGGCGGUGGCUCGGCUGCGGCCGUCGCGGCGUUCGAGGCGCCGCUCGCGAUCGGCACCGACACCGGCGGUUCCAUCCGCCAGCCCGGC
rnacentral:tRNA from 1 species